UACGUAGGGGGCAAGCGUUAUCCGGAUUCACUGGGUGUAAAGGGAGCGUAGACGGCCAUGCAAGCCUGGAGUGAAAGCCCGGGGCCCAACCCCGGGACUGCUCUUGGAACUGCGUGGCUGGAGUGCAGGAGGGGCAGGCGGAAUUCCUGGUGUAGCGGUGAAAUGCGUAGAUAUCAGGAGGAACACCGGUGGCGAAGGCGGCCUGCUGGACUGCAACUGACGUUGAGGCCCGAAAGCGUGGGGAGCAAACAGG
rnacentral:rRNA from 1 species